rnacentral:rRNA from 1 species
AAACAUGUCUUUUUGAAUUUUAAUUUAAAGUCAAAUCUGCUCCAUGAAUAUUUUUUUAAAUAGCUGCAGUAUCCUGACUGUACAAAGGUAGCAUAAUCAAUAGUUUUUUAAUUAAAAGCUGGAAUGAAGGAUUCAAUAAGGUAAAUAUUGUCUCAGAUUUAAAUAGAUUAUAAUUUUUAUUUUAGUUAAAAUACUAAAAUAGAUUUAAAAGACGAGAAGACCCUAUAGAUUUUUAUAAUUUUGUUUUAUUUGGAAAUAAAGAAAUAUGUUUUUAUUAUAAAUUAGAAUUAUUUGGUUGGGGAAAUUAUUAAAUUUAUUAAAUUUUAAUAUUUUAGAAACAAUAAUACUUGAUUAAUUGAUUUUAAAUUUUAAAUUAAUAGAAUAAAAUACCUUAGGGAUAACAGCGUAAUUUUUUUGGAGAGAUCUUAUUGAUAAAAAAGUUUGCGACCUCGAUGUUGAAUUAAGAUAAAAUUUUAAUGUAGAAAUUAAAAAUUUUUAGUCUGUUCGACUAUUAAAAUCUUACAUGAUCUGAGUUCAAACCGGAGA